AUACCAUCAAAACCCCCCUUUUGUAGCAAUACGCAAGGUGCUAGGGCUUUGGAUGUUGACUUUCGCUGUUUUCUGUUGAAAGCAGCCUAGUCCAAACAUAGGAGCAGACCGGUGGUAUGACUAUAGCCCCUCUUGUUUGACUCGGCGUGAUAGUUAUCUUCGUCGAGACUCUCGAGGUGGUGUCUAUUAGCACUUGGCGCUUAUAAUUCUCUACAUACAAU
rnacentral:misc_RNA from 1 species